rnacentral:rRNA from 1 species
UACGAGAGGUGCAAGCGUUGUUCGGAGUAAUUGGGCGUAAAGCGCACGUAGGCGGGUCAGUAUGUCAGAUGUGAAAGCCCUGGGCUCAACCUAGGAAUGGCAUCUGAAACUGCUGAUCUUGAAUAUCUCAGAGGUUGGUGGAAUUCCUGGUGUAGGAGUGAAAUGCGCAGAUAUCAGGAAGAACACCCGUGGCCGAAGGCGGC